GGAGAGGUGGCAGAGUGGUCGAAUGCGCCGGACUCGAAAUCCGGUUCACGGUUAUGCCGUGACGUGGGUUCGAAUCCCACCCUCUCCACCA
rnacentral:tRNA from 2 species